rnacentral:tRNA from 1 species
GUCAGAACGGCCGAGCGGUUUAAGGCGCCAGACUCAAGUUUCCAAACUUGCUUCGCUAAUGCGCAGCCAAAUAGCGUUCUGGUCCACUAAUGUGGGCGUGGGUUCGAAUCCCACUCCUGACA